rnacentral:sRNA from 1 species
UAUUCAUCCCAUGUGGGAAGGAUGAGAAGCUUCGACUAAGGUUCGAUUCGAGCGAAGCGAGAAAGCGUUGCCGCAGGCAACGACCCGAAGGGCGAGGCGCAGCGCGACGAGUAAUCCUUCCCCCGCCACCA